GGGGAAGGGAAAAUCGUUCGUGCGUGCUUUUAUGUGGGACUCAGGUACCAAUGUUGGUGAGUUUGAUGGUCAUUCUAGGCGGGUUCUAAGCUGUGCAUUUAAACCAACAAGACCCUUCCGCAUUGCCACCUGCGGAGAGGAUUUCCUAGUGAAUUUUUAUGAAGGACCGCCAUUUAGAUUUAAGCUGUCACUCAGGGACCAUUCAAAUUUUGUCAACUGUCUAAGGUUCUCUCCAGAUGGCAGCAAGUUCAUUACUGUAAGCUCCGACAAGAAGGGCAUAAUAUAUGAUGCGAAGACUGGGG
rnacentral:misc_RNA from 1 species